rnacentral:rRNA from 1 species
CCUACGGGAGGCAGCAGUGGGGAAUAUUGGGCAAUGGGCGCAAGCCUGACCCAGCAACGCCGCGUGAAGGAAGAAGGCUUUCGGGUUGUAAACUUCUUUUCUGAGGGACGAAGAAAGUGACGGUACCUCAGGAAUAAGCCACGGCUAACUACGUGCCAGCAGCCGCGGUAAUACGUAGGUGGCAAGCGUUAUCCGGAUUUAUUGGGUGUAAAGGGCGUGUAGGCGGGAAAGCAAGUCAGAUGUGAAAACUCAGGGCUCAACCCUGAGCCUGCAUUUGAAACUGUUUUUCUUGAGUGCUGGAGAGGCAAUCGGAAUUCCGUGUGUAGCGGUGAAAUGCGUAGAUAUACGGAGGAACACCAGUGGCGAAGGCGGAUUGCUGGACAGUAACUGACGCUGAAGCACGAAAGCGUGGGUAUCGAACAGGAUUAGAUACCCUGGUAGUC